rnacentral:rRNA from 1 species
GGAGGGUGCAAGCGUUAAUCGGAAUCACUGGGCGUAAAGCGCACGUAGGCGGCUUGGUAAGUCAGGGGUGAAAUCCCACAGCCCAACUGUGGAACUGCCUUUGAUACUGCCAGGCUUGAGUACCGGAGAGGGUGGCGGAAUUCCAGGUGUAGGAGUGAAAUCCGUAGAUAUCUGGAGGAACACCGGUGGCGAAGGCGGCCACCUGGACGGUAACUGACGCUGAGGUGCGAAAGCGUGGGUAGCAAACAGGAUUAGAUACCCUGGUAGUCCACGCUGUAAACGAUGGGUGCUGGGUGCUGGGAUGUAUGUCUCGGUGCCGUAGCUAACGCGAUAAGCACCCCGCCUGGGGAGU